rnacentral:misc_RNA from 1 species
GAUGAAGAACGUAGUGAAAUGCGAUAAGUAAUGUGAAUUGCAGAAUUCAGUGAAUCAUCGAAUCUUUGAACGCAUCUUGCGCUCCUUGGUAUUCUGAGGAGCAUGCCUGUUUGAGUGUCAUUAAAUUCUCAACUACACUGACUUUGAAUUGGUGUGGCUUGGAUUUGGGGGGAAAAUUGUUGUGGGCUUUUUGUAUAGUCUGCUCCCCUGAAAUUGAUUAGCGGUACCUUUGUGGAACUGUCUACAGGUGUGAUAAUUAUCUACAUCUUAGACAUCUGCUGGAAUGCUGCUUUCUAAACCUUACUUGUAUUGACAAUCUUGACCUCAAAUCAGGUAGGACUACCCGCUGAACUUAAGCAUAUCAAUGAGCGGAGGA